AAUGAACGCUGGCGGCGCGCCUAAUACAUGCAAGUCGAGCGAGAAGACGUAGCAAUACGUUUGUAAAGCGGCGAACGGGUGAGGAAUACAUGGGUAACCUACCCUCGAGUGGGGAAUAACUAGCCGAAAGGUUAGCUAAUACCGCGUACGCUCCUUGGACUUCGGUUCAGGGAGGAAAGCGAUACCGUGGGUAUCGCGCUCUUGGUUGGGCUCAUGUCCUAUCAGCUUGUUGGNGAGGUAACGGCUCACCAAGGCUUCGACGGGUAGCUGGUCUGAGAGGACGAUCAGCCACACUGGCACUGCGACACGGGCCAGACUCCUACGGGAGGCAGCAGUAAGGAAUAUUGCGCAAUGGGCGAAAGCCUGACGCAGCGACGCCGCGUGGGGGAGUGAAGGUC
rnacentral:rRNA from 1 species